UGAUUUUUUUUGUUGUCGUUGUGGGGGAUUGUUUGUUUGUUUGUUUUUAUUUUGGUUUUUUUUCUGUAUUAAAAAUCUGGCUCAGUUACUCUCUAGUUCUGGUGUGUUCUCUUUUCCAGGUGGUUGGUGUUUCUGCAGUGUUUGGCACAGGACUGGGGGAGAUUUUUACCCAGCUUUCUAAAGCUGUAGAUGAAUAGGAGAGACUGAAUGCACUCCCUUUAUUCACCUUUUCAGAGAGUAUCGGCCAGAAUACGAGCGCCCGAGAAAAACACUGAAUCCACAUGUAAAUCUUUGUCUACGGGAGAAAGCUCAAAAUAAACAAAAGAGAGAGCAGCUGGAACACUUGUGGAAGGACAUGGGCAGCGUGUGUGUGCAGGGCAGCACACUGGCAGGUACCUCCCCAGGAAGAUAAAGUUUACUGCAGAAGUUUUCUGAAGAGUUUGCCUUGUGAAGUAGUACAGCGCUUCUUUGUCCUCACAGCAG